UACAGAGGGUGCAAGCGUUGUUCGGAAUUAUUGGGCGUAAAGCGCGUUCAGGCGGUUUGGCAAGUCGGGCAUGAAAUCUCUCGGCUCAACCGGGAGAGGUUGUCCGAUACUGCUGGACUUGAGGGCAGUAGAGGGUGGUGGAAUUCCGGGUGUAGUGGUGAAAUGCGUAGAUAUCCGGAGGAACACCAGUGGCGAAAGCGGCCACCUGGACUGCACCUGACGCUGACACGCGAAAGCUAGGGGAGCGAACGGG
rnacentral:rRNA from 1 species